rnacentral:misc_RNA from 1 species
GAUGAAGAACGUAGCGAAAUGCGAUAAGUAAUGUGAAUUGCAGAAUUCAGUGAAUCAUCGAAUCUUUGAACGCACAUUGCGCCCGCCAGUAUUCUGGCGGGCAUGCCUGUUCGAGCGUCAUUUCAACCAUCAAGCCCCAGGCUUGUGUUGGGGACCUGCGGCUGCCGCAGACCCUGAAAACCAGUGGCGGGCUCGCUGUCACACCGGGCGUAGUAGAUUUUAUCUCGCUCAGGGCGUGCUGCGGGUUCCGGCCGUUAAAAAGCCUUUUUUACCCAAGGUUGACCUCGGAUCAGGUAGGAAUACCCGCUGAACUUAAGCAUAUCAAUAAGCGGAGGA